rnacentral:rRNA from 1 species
CCUUGCACUCACGCCCGUCACAUCACCCGAGUCUGGUGCUCCCGAAGUCGCUGGCCGAACCCGUAAGGGACGGGAGGCGCCGAAGGAGUGCCCGGUGAGGGGGGUG